rnacentral:lncRNA from 1 species
AAGAAAUUAAACAUAAAAGACAGAGCCAGCAAAGUAAGUCACCUUGUCUUGAAAAUGCCUGUCACAGCAAGAUAAAACUGAAAAACACAGACAUUUCAGCUUUGUCAGCAGAGGAACCUAUGCAUUAUCUGUUUCUGAAACUAACAUUUUUUGUGCUACCUAAUGAUUAAACAAAGAUGAUGGCAGUAAUAGAGCACUACUAGCAGAAAACAGUUUAAAAAAUGUAGUUUCUGCAAAACUCACAGUCCCAAACUCUCUGAUCAUCAGUACAGACUGUUUUCAGAGAGGAAUAUAACACUUCACCUUGAUGAAAAUGUGAAUCAGAUUUUCAGGUUCAAUUGCUCCAUUAUUUUGUUUUCUUUCUAUCACUUCUACCUUCAGGUUACAGCUUAGAUUUUCUCUCAUGGAUUUGUGUGUGCAAUGUAAUACCAGCUUUUCGAAUUGACAAAUGGGUUUUCUACACACUUGCAUUCAGAAGACUCUUUUCUCUCCUACUCUGCCCAACAUACAGAUCUCAACAAAGUACUGGGAAAGGAUUUGACAAGAAGUAGGAACAGACUUUUCUCAAGACAAUGCAGCUAUAAACAAGAGUCAGGAAAACAGAUUAAUUUGGUGGUCAGAUAAUCUUUGAAAAUCCUUGGAUUGACUAUGGUGUAUAUCUGACUAUGUACUGGCAUUUGGAAAAGAAAUUGGAAAAUUAGAUUUUGGCUACAGUAUUUGUUUCUUUCUGUUUUUCCUUUAGUCUAAACACACAAAUCCAUAUAGUGCAGUAGAAAUUUAGCAGUCAUAUUAUGUAGUUAUCAACACCAGAAAACUUUUUAUGAUGAUGGUACAGCUUAAAAAAAUAAUCAAAAUCUACCAACACUUCCUUGCAGUGGAUUGUAUAUUCUAAAUGUAGCUGGUUCUCUGAUGCCACACCUUGAAGCUGUGAAUAAACCCUGAUACUUACAAACA